GAUAAAGGCGAGCUCUUGACAUUCCUGGGACAAGAAGACCUGCCCUGCGAGACUGUGAGCGGCUCAGCUUCUCCUACCCUGGGGAAGAUACUAUGCUGUUUUACAUCUCACUGCCUUUUCCUGUGCAGUUCCUACUGCCUGGAACACUGUUCCUUCAGCAUCUUCUACAGCAUCUAUUCUGGGAGUGCUAGGUUAAGUGCCCGUCCAACUGUUGGUGAGUAUCUCUCAACUAGACUGCAGGCUUCUCGGAGGCAGAAUCGUGACUUUGUCACACUGGUCCUGCCACACUUGGCACAGUGCCUGCUGCAGAGUCAGGGUUCUCAAAUUAUUGGCUGAAGAGAAUAAAUAUAUGUACAGACGCGUGUCUUAAGCAGCACAGCUAGCAUGAGGCAAAAUGGGUUUUGAACCAUGGUUGCCCCUCACAUAAGGCACCUUUGUGUGCAUUAGGAAAAGACUCCCCCUCUGAGUGAGUGCACUGCAAAAAGGCAAGUCUUCUGGGCAGACCAGCUGGGAAAAGGCACUCUUCCCUUGGCUGACACAGCCAGGUCUCCGGGCUUGGCUGAGCCAGUGAGUAGAUUUCAGCCCUGACUCAUGCUUCUUGGGCAUGAUGACCCAGCUCAGGUACAGCCUGUUUGAACUCAAGUCAGCUUGAUACUGAAACCCACACUUUUCUUUGCCAUGUGAACAAGAGCAAUGUGCCCUCAAAACAUUUUCAAGCCAAGAAAAAGCUCUGUGUGUGUGUGUGUGUGUGUGUGUGUGUGUGUGUGUGUGUGAGAGAGAGAGAGAGAGAGAGAGAUUGAUUUUUGGCAAGAGAUUUUUGCUAUUUUUGGUAAAAUAGCAAAAUCCCCAAACCGCUGGUGCCAUGUUACUGUGGGCUCAAAUCCACAUACACAAGUAAGAUUCCAUACAUACAUAAGAUUCCAUACAUAAGUGAGAUUAUGCGGUAUUUGUCUUUUUGCAUCUGUGUAAUUUCAUUAUAAGUAUUAUAUCCUUAAGGUUCAUCCAUGUUAUUGCAAAUGACUGAUUUUUUUUUUCCUUUUUAAAGCUGAAUAGUAUUCCUUUGUGUAUAAAUGCCACAUUGUCCUUAUCCAUUCCUCCCAUAAUGGACACCUAAAUUGCUUCCACAUCUUAGCUAUUGUGAAUAUUCUUUUCCCCCAAAUCAAGCAGAACAAUACUCAUCCCUUUGCCUGAGCACAACUAGGUGCCAGAGGCAGUGGGAAGAGAGUAUCUGAGAAAGACUGAAGGCUACACGGUCACCAAAGAUAAAGAAAAGUCCCUCCUGGGGCAGCAAGCAUUUAGUUGAGGGCAUGAGGGGAAGGUAUGUCUUCAGAUGGUGGAGUUCAAGGCUGCAGUGUGCUAUGAUCAUGCCUGUGAAUAGCCAUGGCACUCCAGCCCAGGAAAUAUAGUGAGACCAUGCCUGACUCUAAAAAAUUUGGAUUUGAAAUCUGAAGGCUGCAGAACUGCAAGUAGAAACUGAGCAUGUUUUGCAAACAGCAAUAAAGGAUUUAGCAUGAGGAAGUGAGCCUUGCAAAGCAAGUAUAGGGUAGGGGAUCCACAAAAGGGUCAAGUGAAACUGUCUCAGUUUGUGUAUCUGUAAAAUGGGGAUGACACUACCUACCUCACAGAGUCCUCACAGAUGAAAUUCAAUAAUAUAGGUGAAAUGAGUGGCAUCUGGCAUAUGGUAAACAUUUACUAAAUGGUGAUUGCAAUUAUUUUGAUUAGCAGAUUGGUGAUGACAAUGAUGAUGAUAGGAGUGUAGUUGUUGGUGGUAUAAUAUUUAGGGUAAUGAAUGUCUGCCACUAAAUGUCAAGGUGAGAAGAGCUCUGCUAACCUCUUCUAGAAAGGGAGAAAGAACAAGAGCCUCUCAUCCUGCUUUUGUUCCCAUCCGCUCCUCUUGUGGCUAAUGCAGAUAGCGAGCAGAGUUGCUAAAAGCCUUGGCAGAAGAACCACAGGAGGACUGAAAUGAGCGGAGAGAAAGCUCUCCAGUCCUUCGGCCCCCGCUGCCUGUCACUCCAUCUUCCCAGUCCUUGGGGCACCCUGCAUGAGAAGGAUGGAGGAGGCAGGAGCAUGGGGGUACAGUGGGGGACUU
ensembl:lncRNA